GUCUAGUUCAGGAUCCAGCACAGAGCACCCACGUCUAAAUAAACACAAUCACUAAAACAAAGGUCUUAGACAGUGGAACAAAACACACGCUGCGUAAACCAUUAAUAAACUACAAUUCCCAGCAUCCCCUGCCACCUCUACUUAAGGUAGAGCCAACAUGCACCCCUUCCCUCCAGGUGUUGUCAGACAAACAGCAGUGCAUCAUGGGCAAUGUGUUUCACAAGAGGUGGAGGGUUACCGUCUGGCUUCCAGUGGUUUUGGUACCACUUAUAGGUGAAGAUUAUUUUCUCGCAUUAUGUUUACAAAUAUUCUGUUUUCCAGAAAUUUGACCAAAGUCUAGAUCAUAAUUUAAACAAACAAUAUAGCAUUACAAACGAAAUAACUGUUGAUUAAGAUAACAGAAAUAUUGCGAUUUUUAAUCAAAUACUUGUCUUUGUCAUUCAUUGAAAGUUGCUCUUAUUGGGCAAGUAAUGAAGGAUUCUAUUAUAUAUACACCCCCAUUCAUUAUAUGGGGUAAGUAAUGAAGCAUUCUAUUAUAUAUACACCCCCAUUCAUUAUAUGGGGUAAGUAAUGAAGGAUUCUAUUAUAUAUACACCCCCCAUUCAUUAUAUGGGGUAAGUAAUGAAGGAUUCUAUUAUAUAUACACACCCCAUUCAUUAUAUGGGGUAAGUAAUGAAGGAUUCUAUUAUAUAUACACCCCCAUUCAUUAUAUGGGGUAAGUAAUGAAGGAUUCCAUUAUAUAUACACCCCCAUUCAUUAUAUGGGGUAAGUAAUGAAGGAUUCUAUUAUAUAUACACCCCCCAUUCAUUAUAUGGGGUAAGUAAUGAAGGAUUCUAUUAUAUAUACACCCCCCAUUCAUUAUAUGGAGCAAGUAAUGAAGGAUUCCAUUAUAUAUACACCCCCAUUCAUUAUAUGGGGUAAGUAAUGAAGGAUUCUAUUAUAUAUACACCCCCCAUUUAUUAUAUGAGGUAAGUAAUGAAGGAUUCUAUUAUAUAUACCCCCCCCAUUCAUUAUAUGGGGCAAGUAAUGAAGGAUUCCAUUAUAUAUACACCCCCAUUCAUUAUAUGGGGUAAGUAAUGAAGGAUUCCAUUAUAUAUACACCCCCAUUCAUUAUAUGGGGUAAGUAAUGAAGGAUUCCAUUAUAUAUACACCCCCCCAUUCAUUAUAUGGGGUAAGUAAUGAAGGAUUCUAUUAUAUAUACACCCCCCAUUCAUUAUAUGGGGUAAGUAAUGAAGGAUUCUAUUAUAUAUACACCCCCAUUCAUUAUAUGGGGUAAGUAAUGAAGGAUUCUAUUAUAUAUACACCCCCCAUUCAUUAUAUGGGGUAAGUAAUG